rnacentral:rRNA from 1 species
AUCUCCUACCUUACAUACUUACGUUAAGUGUCCUUGGGUUUGAAUAGUACUGGGUUGGGUGACCUCCCGGGAAGUCCAAACUUAGGAGCUU